UCGAACGAACUCUGGUAUUGAUUGGUGCUUGCAUCAUGAUUUACAUUUGAGUGAGUGGCGAACUGGUGAGUAACACGUGGGAAACCUGCCCAGAAGCGGGGGAUAACACCUGGAAACAGAUGCUAAUACCGCAUAACAACUUGGACCGCAUGGUCCGAGUUUGAAAGAUGGCUUCGGCUAUCACUUUUGGAUGGUCCCGCGGCGUAUUAGCUAGAUGGUGAGGUAACGGCUCACCAUGGCAAUGAUACGUAGCCGACCUGAGAGGGUAAUCGGCCACAUUGGGACUGAGACACGGCCCAAACUCCUACGGGAGGCAGCAGUAGGGAAUCUUCCACAAUGGACGAAAGUCUGAUGGAGCAACGCCGCGUGAGUGAAGAAGGGUUUCGGCUCGUAAAACUCUGUUGUUAAAGAAGAACAUAUCUGAGAGUAACUGUUCAGGUAUUGACGGUAUUUAACCAGAAAGCCACGGCUAACUACGUGCCAGCAGCCGCGGUAAUACGUAGGUGGCAAGCGUUGUCCGGAUUUAUUGGGCGUAAAGCGAGCGCAGGCGGUUUUUUAAGUCUGAUGUGAAAGCCUUCGGCUCAACCGAAGAAGUGCAUCGGAAACUGGGAAACUUGAGUGCAGAAGAGGACAGUGGAACUCCAUGUGUAGCGGUGAAAUGCGUAGAUAUAUGGAAGAACACCAGUGGCGAAGGCGGCUGUCUGGUCUGUAACUGACGCUGAGGCUCGAAAGUAUGGGUAGCAAACAGGAUUAGAUACCCUGGUAGUCCAUACCGUAAACGAUGAAUGCUAAGUGUUGGAGGGUUUCCGCCCUUCAGUGCUGCAGCUAACGCAUUAAGCAUUCCGCCUGGGGAGUACGGCCGCAAGGCUGAAACUCAAAGGAAUUGACGGGGGCCCGCACAAGCGGUGGAGCAUGUGGUUUAAUUCGAAGCUACGCGAAGAACCUUACCAGGUCUUGACAUACUAUGCAAAUCUAAGAGAUUAGACGUUCCCUUCGGGGACAUGGAUACAGGUGGUGCAUGGUUGUCGUCAGCUCGUGUCGUGAGAUGUUGGGUUAAGUCCCGCAACGAGCGCAACCCUUAUUAUCAGUUGCCAGCAUUAAGUUGGGCACUCUGGUGAGACUGCCGGUGACAAACCGGAGGAAGGUGGGGAUGACGUCAAAUCAUCAUGCCCCUUAUGACCUGGGCUACACACGUGCUACAAUGGAUGGUACAACGAGUUGCGAACUCGCGAGAGUAAGCUAAUCUCUUAAAGCCAUUCUCAGUUCGGAUUGUAGGCUGCAACUCGCCUACAUGAAGUCGGAAUCGCUAGUAAUCGCGGAUCAGCAUGCCGCGGUGAAUACGUUCCCGGGCCUUGUACACACCGCCCGUCACACCAUGAGAGUUUGUAACACCCAAAGUCGGUGGGGUAACCUUUUAGGAAC
rnacentral:rRNA from 2 species